AUGACGUACAGCUACAACAAGGUGGAGCAGGCCAUGGAGCUUCUCUGGAGGACCAAGCCCUCCAGGAUCUCUAGCAACCUUGCCGCCAUGUCUCUGAUUAGCUACCCAAGGAAACGUGCCCAUGGUGACACGGCGAUCCUCUCCCAAGAUCUCCAACUCCGAUUCCGGGUCGUGCCAAAGCUUCACCCUGUACCAGAAUGGAUCAUCAAGGGACAAUCCUCUGAGCGCUUCUUUGAGCUGCAGAUAUUCUCGAUUGGCCCGCUCGAACUAGUGAACGUGUCGGCCGUGCUCACGGAGUCCGGCGGGGUCUUUGGAUGGUGCCCGGUGAUGUCGCUGGAGGGCGUGUACAACCCGGAGGACGGGCGGAUGCACCUGGUGGGGUGCCGAGACGUCGAAGCCCCAUGGCAGCCCCUCGGCCAAGGUUUACAUGUCCACUUCAACCGGACCGAGCUCCCGGCGCUGCAAUCCUUUUACCCCGGGACGAGGUUUGACGGAUUCGUGGGGCAGAACAUGGAGGGGAUCGUCUGCCUCGCCAUGUUGUCGGCCACCAUCGUCGCCGCAUUCAGCCAGCUGCGCUACAUGGAUUCCCACCCGGACGUUGUGCCGUACAUCUCCCUCGCCAUGCUCGGCGCCCAGGCGCUCUGCUACGGCGCGGCGCUGGUCACGGACGCCAGGAUCCUACCCGCGUGGCCGAGGAUGUACGACGGCGAAGGCAACUACUCCGUGAAAGCCCUGCCCUCGCGGCGCUCCUCCUCACGCUGCGCCUGGCACGCAAGGUGCGGCGGUCGAGGGUCCGCGCUCGGGCGCGGGCGCCGCUUGAGCCGGGACGCGUCCCGAGCGACAUGGCCGGGCUGCACCUUGGCGGCCUCCUGUUCGUCCUCGCCAUGCACGGGCUGCUGGCCACGUACGGCGGUGCGUCGACCAAGCCGCCGCCGCCGCCGCAUGUGGUGUACACCCUACAAGCACAGGGCCAGGGGGAAUCCUAUAGCCGGCCCUCGUAUAAUAUGGCCGCCAUGGUGGAGCGGUGCAUCGGCCUGGCCGCUGGAUGCCGCCUCCCUUCAGGCGCCGAUCGGGACACGGAGCGUCGGCUCCCUCUUCGCGCUCCCGCCGGCUGCUACUUCGCCCGGGCAGGCGCUUGUGGCCCACACCGCCGCCGCCCCGUCAACCGCGGCUGUCGCGCCCUCGGCCACUGCGCCGCUGGUGGCGGAGGACGUCGCGCUGGCAGGCUUCGCGGCGUCAACCGCGGCCAUCGCGCCCUCUGCCACCGCGCCGGCUGCCCCUCUGACUGUCUCCACGAGGGUUGUGCCGGUUCCUCCCAAAGCCCAUUGUCUUACACUGAGGAAGAGCUACUACGCCGGAAUCACGGGCAUGUCGCUGCUGCCACACGUCUAUGGGUUCCUCCGCCCGCCUCCCGCGGUUGGCAUGUACCCUGCCCCUAAGGAGGCCCAAGACGGCGCCAUGGACUUGUACUCCAAGGUUGGUGGCGUGGUGGUGCCGGUCAUGGCGGUGGUGCUCGCGCUCUUGGUCUACGUGCAGCAGCGCUGGAACUACAAGAUACUAUAA
rnacentral:rRNA from 1 species